GGCCCAAACUCGACGGCCAUUGAAAACGAAGUGGGGUCAUUUUGAGUGGGUAUGAGGUGGGACCAACUGUUGAUGAGUUGGCUAGAAUAUAGGACAAAGACCGCAAAGCCUACAAAUUACAGGCAGAGGGAAACCUCAAGCUCUGGAUUAUUUUUUUUAUUUUUAAGACGGCGUGUUCGGAAGAUAAAGGACAAAAAAAAAGAAAAAAGAAAACAGAGAUGAAAUUUUCGCGCUCUAUGCUCUGCUGUGAAGAGGAUUAAGAUCAAAACGCAAAAUGCGUGAAGUAGAAACGACUAGUUGAAAAGAAAUGAAAAAACCCUAAAUCUUUUCAUAUUUCUUUGUUUUCGACCUUUCAUCUCCGUUUACAAUAAAAGAAACUUGUUUGGUUUCAAGAGCAUUCUACUCUGUUCAUAUUUUAGAGGAAUGAAUCUUGAAAUUUAGAUAUAGUUUUAUUUUGGGGGGUUCCUUUUUGGUUAUUAAAAUGGCGAACUCGGGAGAAGUGGAAGCACAGUACGAGAGCGAACCGGAGGAGACGUUGUUAUUGCGGAUAAGAAGGGAAGCGAGCGACGACGAUAAGGAUGUCGAAAUGGAGGAAAACAAGAUGGCCGUACGGUUUAAUAGAAGUGUUAGAAGGACUGGUUACGCUGAUGAGUCGGAUGGUGGCAGUGGAGCACCGGAGUUCUACGAAGAUGAUGGUGAUGAGGAAGGUUCUUACGUCCAUGAACUUGAAAAGCUUGGAGAAGAAGUAGAAGAAGAACGCGAAGAGGAAGUUGCAAAACAAGUAACAUCGACGAAACAGAGAGGAAGAGAGAAGGUAAACGAUGCCGACAUCGACCCCUUUGCGGUUCCAAGAACCGGUGCGUUUUACAUGCAUGACGAUCGUUUCGACGGUCUUCGUCGUCGAAGUCGCUAUCAACGGAGGAAAAAGUACAUCUGGGAAUCCAAAGAUGAAUUAAAAUGGAUGCAUGACAAGUUUGAAGAGAUGACACUGGAGAAACCACAUAAUAAUGAACUGAAUGCCUUUGAAAUACACAGGACUUCUAAAGAUCAUCAUCAAGGUCGCAACAAGAAUAAUACUAAAAGUGGUGGUUAUAAAGCAAAAGAUUCCAGACCUCAUUCCAAAUCUGGCAGUAAUGGCAGUUCUUCAAAAAUAGUUAAAGGACGAGGGUCUGUUAGAUAUAACCCUCUUUUCAGGAGCAGCUCUGUUAAUUCACCAAUGAAAAGCAUGCAAUUGGAGAAGACCCAAGGAACGAGUUCCAAAACAGGUUCAGCAAGAGUAAUUUCAGCAAAUAACAGGCGGCAAUAUAAACAGCUCCUGGGGAAGACAUCAAAUGCUGAUUCAUCAGAAAGAGCAUUAUCAAUUAAGUGCAAGCAGCCUGCAAAGCCCUUUGAAAUGACUAGGGAUACAGAUUCAUCUACAGUUUUCUCAACAAAGAGCAAGCAUUCUGGGGACCUGCAAAUGGUGUCAUAUAUUAAUCCGGCAAGUGUAUCCUUCCGUGGUUUCAAUGCAGAUUCUGAUUCGCUUCCCUUUGAUGAGCACCUUUUGGCACCUAACAUGAGUUCUUACCUGCAAGCAUUUUAUCCUGCAAGUUCUUUUAAUGUUGAUAACUCCAGGACAGAAAAAAGGAUGGUACUACCUGGAAGGAGAAAUGUAACGUUUCCUGCUUCUGUGCUGCCAAAUCAGAUUAUCCAUGUGCCACAAUCCAAUGAGUACUUACCAGAAAAUAUUGUGCUAGAUAUUCCUUAUGCUAAGGAGGGAGUUAGUCUGGUUCCUGAAAAUUAUUUUUGCGAACAUUCUUUUCAGUAUUCAGUGCCUGGGUCAACAUACAUGCCUUCUCCUGAGUCAAGAGACCAGAGAAUUGGUUCAUCUCUCUCAAUACCAUUUACUCAUCAAGCAACUCUCUUUCCUAGCCAGUUAAAUAGAGUUUCUUCUCUGGCACAGCAGCCCAUUGUUCAAGGAAUGUCUGUUGAAAGUACAAUUCAACCUUCAUCACAAGUUUCCACUCAGCAGUUGCAUUCAUGCCUUGGGAGUGGAUAUCAGAAAUUAGUUGAAGCUUCAUCUCUGAGUUUUAAUGAAUCUGGAACAUUGGAAUCUUUUGCAGUCUCAAUUCAGUCUAACGUUGUGUCUCGGGGGACUGGAAGCAGCAUCAUUAGUCCUCCUCAAUACUCUGGAGUACAGGGUGACCAAAAGUUUAAUGCUACCCCAGUACUUCUUCCUGUUAUGCCAAUUGGGGGCCUGCAUCUUGGUAGACUUGGCAAUCCUGUGAUUGAUAUGACGUCCACUGGAUACAUUGGUGAACCUCAAGUUCAUUUUAGGAAUCCCAACCUGACAUGUAUGAUAGGGGAAAAGGCACAAAUAACAGUCUUUAGCAAAUGAUACUGCAGCACUCAUUCUCCUGAGAGUACAUGUCUUUUAAAUUGAAGAAAAUGAAUGGAAGUGUUACUAGGGUCCGGAAAAGAUGAUUUAGAAAAGCUUGUUGAGCUUUUCUGGAAGAAAUAGAAUGGUGAGAUGAUCUCACUGCUCCUUUAUGUUGCCUUGAUAUUUGGUUUAUUUCCAGUUUAAAUGGUUGAAUAUUUAAAGGCGUAUGCUCUUUUUGCUUCUUUCGGUUUGCUUCUUACGCAGACAGUACAUAUUGAAACUUUGAAACAAGUUGAUUUCAGGAUUUUCAUUCUUGCAGAUAUCUUUUCUGUUACUAAUAGUUAAAAGAAGUUUUAUUGUGUUAACUUAGUUGCCGCGAUAAUUAAUCUUGAUUUUUCGUCUGUGCCAUUUGAUGAUGGUGUGACUUCUCUAGGUUACCAGUUUUACCAGCUGCUGCUGCAGCUGUAGGUGCCACAUAUCAUCCUCCCUGUGUUGCUUCUGAUGGCAGAUGCUAUGUUAUGCAACAUGUAUAUCCAUACCCACUAAUGAAGCAGUUUCAUCUGGAUCUAGUGAUGGCAGUCU